rnacentral:rRNA from 1 species
CGCUGGCGGCGUGCCUAAUACAUGCAAGUCGAACGGUCUUUUCUAUGGAAGCUUGCUUCCACUGAGAAGAUAGUGGCGAACGGGUGAGUAACACGUGGGUAACCUGCCCAUAAGAGGGGGAUAACAUCCGGAAACGGGUGCUAAUACCGCAUAGUUUUCUUGAUCGCAUGAUUGAGAAAGGAAAGACGGCCUUUGUGCUGUCGCUUAUGGAUGGACCCGCGGCGUAUUAGUUAGUUGGUGAGGUAACGGCUCACCAAGACGAUGAUACGUAGCCGACCUGAGAGGGUGAUCGGCCACAUUGGGACUGAGACACGGCCCAAACUCCUACGGGAGGCAGCAGUAGGGAAUCUUCCGCAAUGGACGGAAGUCUGACGGAGCAACGCCGCGUGAGUGAAAGAAGGUUUUCGGAUCGUAAAACCCUGUUGUCAGAGAAGAACAAGUUGGAGAGUAACUGCUCCAGCCUUGACGGUAUCUGACCAGAAAGCCACGGCUAACUACGUGCCAGCCGCAGC